rnacentral:rRNA from 1 species
CCUACGGGUGGCAGCAGUGAGGAAUAUUGGUCAAUGGGCGCGAGCCUGAACCAGCCAAGUCGCGUGAGGGAAGACGGUCCUAUGGAUUGUAAACCUCUUUUGUCGGGGAGCAAAAGACGCCACGCGUGGCGUUCCGAGAGUACCCGAAGAAAAAGCAUCGGCUAACUCCGUGCCAGCAGCCGCGGUAAUACGGAGGAUGCGAGCGUUAUCCGGAUUUAUUGGGUUUAAAGGGUGCGUAGGCGGACUGGAAAGUCAGCGGUAAAAUCGAGAGGCUCAACCUCUUUCCGCCGUUGAAACUGUCGGUCUUGAGUGGGCGAGAAGUAUGCGGAAUGCGUGGUGUAGCGGUGAAAUGCAUAGAUAUCACGCAGAACUCCGAUUGCGAAGGCAGCAUACCGGCGCCCGACUGACGCUGAGGCACGAAAGCGUGGGUAUCGAACAGGAUUAGAUACCCGGGUAGUC